GAAAUGCGAUAAGUAAUGUGAAUUGCAGAAUUCAGUGAAUCAUCGAAUCUUUGAACGCACAUUGCGCCCGCUGGUAUUCCGGGGGGCAUGCCUGUUCGAGCGUCAUUUCACCACUCAAGCCUCGCUUGGUAUUGGGCGACGCGGUCCGCCGCGCGCCUCAAAUCGACCGGCUGGGUCUUCCGUCCCCUCAGCGUUGUGGAAACUAUUCGCUAAAGGGUGCCGCGGGAGGUCACGCCGCAAAACAACCCCAUUUCUAAGGUUGACCUCGGAUCAGGUAGGGAUACCCGCUGAACUUAAGC
rnacentral:misc_RNA from 1 species